rnacentral:rRNA from 1 species
UACGUAGGGUGCGAGCGUUAAUCGGAAUUACUGGGCGUAAAGCGUGCGCAGGCGGUUUUGUAAGUCAGGUGUGAAAGCCCCGGGCUUAACCUGGGAAUGGCAUUUGGGACUGCAAGGCUUGAGUGCGGCAGAGGAGACUGGAAUUCCUGGUGUAGCAGUGAAAUGCGUAGAUAUCAGGAGGAAUACCGAUGGCGAAGGCAGGUCUCUGGGCUGACACUGACGCUCAGGCACGAAAGCGUGGGGAGCAAACAGG